GAGUAAAAGUCGUAACAAGGUUUCCGUAGGUGAACCUGCGGUAGGAUCAUUACAGAGUUCAUGCCCUCACGGGUAGAUCUCCCACCCUUGAAUAUUUAUACCUUAGUUGCUUUGGCAGGCCGUGGAAACACCAUGGGCUCCGGCUUAUGCGUGCCUGCCAGAGGAAACAAACUCUGUUUUUAGUGAUGUCUGAGUACUAUAUAAUAGUUAAAACUUUCAACAACGGAUCUCUUGGUUCUG
rnacentral:misc_RNA from 1 species